rnacentral:lncRNA from 1 species
CGACACUUGGCGGCGCGGGGGUGGGGUCAUGGAUGGCGGCGCACCACCGGCCUGCAUUUCAUAAGCGCUCCCUACCAAUAUUUUAGGAUCUUGGUGACAGCUUUAUUACACCGAGGAUAGGAAAUUUCAGUGGACACGAGCUCUCCCGAGGAAAGGUCUCACAGUUGUCCACUGAAAACCAAGACCCAGCAGGGGAGGAUGGUCACCAGUGAAAGAAAGACAGAGAACAAAAACUAUAGACAUUCACCACUUCAACCAAGAGGAGGAAAACUGCACUGGAUCCACUCAGAAAUGAACUUUCUCUCCACGGACUCCAGCCCCACUCAUUUUCUUCGUCUCUGGAAUGAGCCAGCUCUUCCUGGCUCCAAGGUAUUUUUCCAUGCUUUCUCUUUGCCUCAGUAGCCUUUCCCCUACUCCUUACAAUGACUGACUCCUUAUCUUUAAGGUUCCAAUUUAAAUAUAAUCCCCCUAAACUCUUUUCCCUGACCACCCAGUCUAAAACUGGCCUCCCUUGUUAGUCUUUCCAAGUUUCUUGUUCUUUUUUUUUGUCAUGGUACUUUAUCACAUUUUGUGAUUAUGUAUUUUUUUUUUUUUUUUUGUCUGCUUGCCUGACCACUACAUUCUAGCUUUCUUUGGUACUCUUUUGGUUGCAAGCAACAGAAACUGCCUUUGGCUUGCUUAAACUAUAAGACAGGUAGCUUUUGUAAUUUAAAGAAAAUUCCUGUCUCAGCAAGGACAGGAAUGAUAAAUAUGGUAGGAGAUUCCAGACCUUCAUUCACAAUUCCAGGCACUUGAGAAAUCUGGGGGACCCCAACUCGUGUUUCAGAUUCCUGGGAGAGAGAGUCUGAUAGGUUGGGUUGGGUUGAGUUUCUGCAUUUGGACAUCACUGUGCUUCCUACAAUGGGCCACUCUGAGGUUAAGAAAGCACAAUCCUUUAUUUUGUCAUGAGAAGGGAGGAAGGGGUGAAAGUAGAUGGCUCUGAGCAGGGAACAUAGGAACACCACCAAAUGUUAUUGAACAUGGAUUGUGCGUAAGGCCCUGGCUAAGCAUCCCUACCCUAUCUUUAGGUCUCCGAUUUAUUCAGUCUCCCUGAAGGCCUUUCGGUUUUCAGAUGACACAAGUCCCCAGCAGCUGUUGUCACCAUCAAGAGGCUCUAUGCCACUGUGCCUAGGUG